rnacentral:lncRNA from 1 species
AUGCCAGGAAAAAGAAUUGCAGUGAUUGGCGCUGAAGUCAGUGGAUUAAACGCUAUUAAGAGCUGUCUGGAAGAGGGACUGGAGCCCACCUGUUUUGAAGGAGGCAGUGACAUUGGAGGAGUAUGGAGAUAUGAGGAGAAGGCUGAAGGUGGCAGGGCAAUCAUCUAUAAAUGUGUCACCAGCAAUACUUCAAAGGAAAUAUCAGCCUAUAGUGAUUACCCUUUCCCUUCCCAUCUUCCCAACUAUUUGCACAAUUCCAAAUUGAUGGAGUACCUCAGAAUGUACAUCAAUCACUUUCAUCUUCUGAAGCACAUACAUCAAAGGUGUGCAGUGUGAAGAAGUGCUGCAACUUCUCAUGCACAAGGCAAUGGGAUGUUGUGGUCGAGACUGGAGGGAAGCAGAAAUCCUAUGUCUUUGAUGGGAUUAUGGUGUGUAGUGGCCUUCAUAGCCAUCCCGUAUUACCACUCCAGGACUUUCCAAGGAUCAAGAGGUUCAAAGGCCAAUAUAUUCACAGUUGGGAAUACAAGAGGCCAGAUAAAUUUCGGGAGAAGAAAAUUGUUGUUAUUGGCUUUGGAAAUUCCAGAGCUGAUUUGGCCAUUGAGCUCAGCCAUGUAGCUGCACAGGUGUUUCUCAGCACAAGACGGGGUGCAUGGAUGUGGAGCCAGGUCUGAGAUUAUGGGAUGCUCAUGGACACUGCCCUCUUUACUCAUUUUAAAUCUGUCCUCAACAAAUUUCACCCUGCAUUCUUAAUCAACAGAUGGACAGAGAAUAAAUUAAAUACUCGAUUUAACCAUGAAAUCUAUGGUUUACAAUCCCCACAUAGCGAUUCCUGAGCCAUCAAAUUUCUAUGAGUGAUGAUCUACCCAACCAUGUAAUUUGUGGAAGACUUGUGAUGAAACCGAAUGUGACAGAGUUCACUGAGACAACUACCAUCUUUGAAGAUGACACAGAAGAGGAGAUUGAUGCCGUCAUCUUUGCCACAGGCUACACCUUGUCUUUCCCUUUCUUGAAGGAAGACUCAUCAAUCCUGGACAGCUGUGUUCCAUGUUUAAACAUGUGUUCCCUCCUCAGCUGGAGGAGCCAACACUAGCUUUCACUGGCAUCCUUCGAACAGUGGGAGCCACCAUUUCCUCUUCAGAGGUCCAGAGCUGUUGGGCUGUAUGUGUAUUUAAAGUUUCCUAGGAUUGAACAAACUACUUUCAGUGAGUGACAUGAUGGCUGACAUAAGAAAGAAGAGAAAAAAGUUGGAAAAGAUUGCUGAAAAAUCCUCAAGAUACACACGGAGUGUACUAUGUAGAUUACAUGGAUGAAACUGCCUCUGAAAUUGGAGCGAAACCCAACCUCCUCUCACUCUUCCUGUGGGAUCCAAAGCUAGCUAUGGAAGUUUUCUUUGGACCAUGCACACCUUACCAGUACUGCCUUCAGAGGCCAGGGAAGUGGGCUGGAGGCCAGGAAGCCAUCCUGACCCAGAGAGAGAGAAUUAUCAAGCCCCUGAGGACUCGUAUCCUUACUCGUGACCAGCCUUCAUUCUCUGUUAUUUUGGCUUAAAAGUAUCAGUGCAGUCCUUCUCAUCUUUGUCCUCAUUUUCAUCAUUGUUAAA